rnacentral:tRNA from 1 species
UAAGGCCUUAGCUUAAUUAAAGUGUCUGGGUUGCAUUCAGAAGAUGUGAGAUAGAGUCUCGCAGGUUUUAU